GGCGAACGCUGGCGGCGUGCUUAACACAUGCAAGUCGAACGGAAAGGCUCCAGCUUGCUGGAGUACUCGAGUGGCGAACGGGUGAGUAACACGUGGGUAAUCUGCCCUGCACUCUGGGAUAAGCCUGGGAAACUGGGUCUAAUACUGGAUAUGACCUUUCUCCUUAUGGGGUUUGGUGGAAAGUUUUUCGGUGUAGGAUGAGCCCGCGGCCUAUCAGCUUGUUGGUGGGGUGAUGGCCUACCAAGGCGACGACGGGUAGCCGGCCUGAGAGGGUGAUCGGCCACAUUGGGACUGAGAUACGGCCCAGACUCGUACGGGAGGCAGCAGUGGGGAAUAUUGCACAAUGGGCGGAAGCCUGAUGCAGCGACGCCGCGUGAGGGAUGACGGCCUUCGGGUUGUAAACCUCUUUCAGCAGGGACGAAGCGUAAGUGACGGUACCUGCAGAAGAAGCACCGGCUAACUAUGUG
rnacentral:rRNA from 1 species